AAACCUCACCAAAUCGCUCGCCUCUCUCUGUCUCUCUCUCUAUAUAUGUAUCUCACUGCUCCAUAUCUCUCCUCCGGCGAUCUCCCUUCUUCGCCUUCUUCAACAGCCGAUCUCCCUCCUCCGUCGCCGCCUCACUCUCUCUCUUCUAAAUACCGCCCUCAUUUUCAAACUCUAACCAUGGCUUCCGAAUCAUCAGGUCGUAACAACUCUGCUUUAAAAGGGUUCAAUUUCGCUACUGAAGACAUUCUCUAGGAUUCCCUUACCACCAAUCUCACUCUUUCACCACCAAUCUCAGUGGAAUCUCCAAGCCAAGACCCGCGGUGAUUGCGGCAGCGAUGGUCGUUAGAUUACAUUUUGCCGACUACCUUCUCCAACUAAGAUUAGUAUCGGAAAUCCCCAUUUGAUGAGCAAGUUGUUGAUGUUGAUCAGUUCCAAGAAAUUAUUGAUGUUUAGGUUCAAAUCUGUGUUGUUUUUCCUUCAGAUAUUUUCACUUUUUGUGUUCAUUUUCAUAUAUAAAACUAAUCUGUUUAUUGAA